rnacentral:rRNA from 1 species
GUGGGGAAUUUUGGACAAUGGGCGCAAGCCUGAUCCAGCAAUGCCGCGUGCAGGAAGAAGGCCUUCGGGUUGUAAACUGCUUUUGUACGGAACGAAACGGUCCGGGUUAAUACCCUGGGCUAAUGACGGUACCGUAAGAAUAAGCACCGGCUAACUACGUGCCAGCAGCCGCGGUAAUACGUAGGGUGCAAGCGUUAAUCGGAAUUACUGGGCGUAAAGCGUGCGCAGGCGGCUUUGUAAGACGGAUGUGAAAGCCCCGGGCUCAACCUGGGAAGUGCAUUCGUGACUGCAAGGCUAGAGUGUGUCAGAAGGGGGUGGAAUUCCGCGUGUAGCAGUGAAAUGCGUAGAUAUGCGGAGGAACACCGAUGGCGAAGGCGAUCCCCUGGACCUGUACUGACGCUCAUGCACGAAAGCGUGGGGAGCAAACAGGAUUAGAUACCCCUGUAGUCC